GAACGGACGAGAAGCUUGCUUCUCUGAUGUUAGCGGCGGACGGGUGAGUAACACGUGGAUAACCUACCUAUAAGACUGGGAUAACUUCGGGAAACCGGAGCUAAUACCGGAUAAUAUUUUGAACCGCAUGGUUCAAAAGUAAAAGACGGUCUUGCUGUCACUUAUAGAUGGAUCCGCGCUGCAUUAGCUAGUUGGUAAGGUAACGGCUUACCAAGGCAACGAUGCAUAGCCGACCUGAGAGGGUGAUCGGCCACACUGGAACUGAGACACGGUCCAGACUCCUACGGGAGGCAGCAGUAGGGAAUCUUCCGCAAUGGGCGAAAGCCUGACGGAGCAACGCCGCGUGAGUGAUGAAGGUCUUCGGAUCGUAAAACUCUGUUAUUAGGGAAGAACAUAUGUGUAAGUAACUGUGCACAUCUUGACGGUACCUAAUCAGAAAGCCACGGCUAACUACGUGCCAGCAGCCGCGGUAAUACGUAGGUGGCAAGCGUUAUCCGGAAUUAUUGGGCGUAAAGCGCGCGUAGGCGGUUUUUUAAGUCUGAUGUGAAAGCCCACGGCUCAACCGUGGAGGGUCAUUGGAAACUGGAAAACUUGAGUGCAGAAGAGGAAAGUGGAAUUCCAUGUGUAGCGGUGAAAUGCGCAGAGAUAUGGAGGAACACCAGUGGCGAAGGCGACUUUCUGGUCUGUAACUGACGCUGAUGUGCGAAAGCGUGGGGAUCAAA
rnacentral:rRNA from 1 species